rnacentral:lncRNA from 1 species
CGCAGCGCCCACGGGAAGAACCUGCGCGUCGCCGUCUGCAGGAGCCCCGGCCCAGGAAAGGCGCCGCCGGGGUCCAGUGAGCGCGUGGGGCCGCGAGAGCGAGAGGAAACUUCCUUUUCGGGCCUGACUGCGGAGGGGAGCUUUGCCGCGGCUUCGCACAGUCUUUCAUUUUCUGCACCUGCCUCUGCGUCCAUCCUUCCCUUCCUGAGAAAAACUGUUUGCUUGGAAGUGCUUUUUCACAGCCAUUAUGGGGUCUUCACAGCUCAGGGGCGUCCUUCCAUACCCAACUACUGCACCAAGCCGGUCUCCAGGACUUGGCAAUGCUGAUGAAGUCCAGUGAAGAACUUCUCCAGGCCAGUCUCAUUCCAACCAACCUCUUAUGCUGAACAGUUUGAAGAUUUGCUGAAGCAUCUGAUGGAGGACAGCAGUGAUUUGAGCCUUCUGGACCUUGCUGCCAUCUACCAGAAACAACAGAAGACCAUUGGAACCAGCUAAAUGUCCAUCGGUAGGGGACUAAUCAAAUAAUGUAGGACACACCCAUUCAAUGGGAAACAGUACAGCUAUUUAAAAAGAUAAAGCAGUUAUCUAUAUAUGAAUGAGAAGAUCUCCAAGUUAAAAAAGAUAGGUGCAGAACAGUGAGUAUAGUAUGCUAUCUUUUAUAUUAAAAAAGGGGGAGAGUGUAAUAAAAGAAUGUACCUAUAUUCUCAUCAGUUGGCAUAUACAUAAAGAAACUGUAAGGAUUUAAAAGACAGUAAUAACUUCAAACUGUGGAAAAUGUUGGAAGCAGUUGUGUCAAAGUAUACAUUUAUUCAUAUGCCCAAAUUCCAAUUUACUAGUAAUUUUAAAAAUGUAAGUUAGUAAAAUAUCCAUAAAGGGAAAGGUCAGUAGCAGGGAAAUACACACUCAAACAUUGCUGGUGACAGUAUUUUGGAAAAAAAAAAUGUCUUCAAUCAGCAUUCUGCCCUUAGGAUUUAUCCAAAAACAGGUAAAGUUUUGUGCUCAGAUUCUAUAAAACAGUGGAGAACAAGAAAGUGUAUAUUCAGGAACAAAUGAUGGGGAAGGAAACUAUAGUAUGUGUAGUUAUUAGACAAUUGUGUAUCCAUUUACAAAUUUGUGAGUGGAAAACAAAAGCAUGAAAAAUUUACUGAUGAUGGAAUUCCAUUGCGUGGCAAAAAUUCAGGCUAAAUUACAUAGCAUAGUCACAAUUUGGUAUUUUAAAAGAGGCAAAUGACAUGUUUUAAAUGAUUAAAAUUUGAAACUAU